GAUGAACGCUGGCGGCGUGCCUAAUACAUGCAAGUCGAGCGAACAGACGAGGAGCUUGCUCCUCUGGCGUUAGCGGCGGACGGGUGAGUAACACGUGGAUAACCUACCUAUAAGACUGGGAUAACUUCGGGAAACCGGAGCUAAUACCGGAUAAUAUAUUGAACCGCAUGGUUCAAUAGUGAAAGACGGUUUUGCUGUCACUUAUAGAUGGAUCCGCGCCGCAUUAGCUAGUUGGUAAGGUAACGGCUUACCAAGGCAACGAUGCGUAGCCGACCUGAGAGGGUGAUCGGCCACACUGGAACUGAGACACGGUCCAGACUCCUACGGGAGGCAGCAGUAGGGAAUCUUCCGCAAUGGGCGAAAGCCUGACGGAGCAACGCCGCGUGAGUGAUGAAGGUCUUCGGAUCGGAAAACUCUGUUAUUAGGGAAGAACAAAUGUGUAAGUAACUAUGCACGUCUUGACGGUACCUAAUCAGAAAGCCACGGCUAACUACG
rnacentral:rRNA from 1 species